UACGGAGGGUGCGAGCGUUGUCCGGAAUCAUUGGGCGUAAAGGGCGCGUAGGUGGCCCGGUCAGUUCGUGGUGAAAGCGCGGGGCUCAACCCUGCGUCGGCCAUGAAUACUGCCGCGGCUGGAGCACUGUAGAGGCAGGCGGAAUUCCCGGUGUAGCGGUGGAAUGCGUAGAGAUCGGGAAGAAUACCUGUGGCGAAGGCGGCCAGCUGGGCCAGAUCCGACACUGAGGCGCGAAAGCGUGGGGAGCAAACAGG
rnacentral:rRNA from 1 species